rnacentral:siRNA from 1 species
AUGGUGCGGCCUAGGUGCUCAUAC